CCUACGGGUGGCAGCAGUGAGGAAUAUUGGUCAAUGGACGAGAGUCUGAUCCAGCCAAGUAGCGUGAAGGAUGAAUGCCCUAUGGGUUGUAAACUUCUUUAGUAAAGGAAUAAAACGAGGCACGUGUCCCUUUUUCCAUGUACUUUAUCAUUCAGGAACGGCUAACUCCGUGCCAGCAGCCGCGGUAAUACGGAGGAUCCGAGCGUUAUCCGGAUUUAUUGGGUUUAAAGGGAGCGUAGAUGGGUUGUUAAGGCAGGUGUGAAAGUUUGCGGCGCAACCGUAGAAUUGCAAUUGAUACUGGCAGUCUUGAGUACAGUAGAGGUAGGCGGAAUUCGUGGUGUAGCGGUGAAAUGCGUAGAUAUCAGGAAGAACACCGAUUGCGAAGGCAGCUUACUAGACUGUGACUGACAUUGAGGCGCGAAAGUGUGGGGAGCAAACAGGAUUAGAUACCCUAGUAGUC
rnacentral:rRNA from 1 species